rnacentral:rRNA from 1 species
UCUGGCUCUGGGUCGAUUGUAAUCUGUAGAGGAUGCUUUUGGCAAGACGCCUUCUGAGUCUCCUGGAACGGGGCGCCAUAGAGGGUGAGAGCCCCGUACGGUUGGACGUCGCGCCUCUGUAAAGCACCUUCGACGAGUCGAGUAGUUUGGGAAUGCUGCUCAAAGCGGGAGGUAAAUUUCUUCUAAAGCUAAAUACCGGCCAGAGACCGAUAGCGCACAAGUAGAGUGAUCGAAAGAUGAAAAGCACUUUGAAAAGAGGGUUAAAAAGCACGUGAAAUUGUUGAAAGGGAAGCGCUUAUGACCAGACUUGGUCCCGGCGGAUCAUCUGGCGUUCUCGCCAGUGCACUCCACCGGGUGCCAGGCCAGCAUCGGUUUCUCUAGGGGCAUAAAGGCUCUGGGAACGUAGCUCUUCCGGGAGUGUUAUAGCCCACUGCAUAAUACCUCUGGGGGGACCGAGGCCCGCGCAUCGCAAGGAUGCUGGCGUAAUGGUCAUCAGCGGCCCGUCUU